GUAGAGAGGGAGGCGAGAACAGUACUCGACGAGGUCGUUGGAGGUCCACGUGAAGGCGAACGAGGUCGUCGGAGGUCUCCGAAUUGAAACUAAUAGCCUCCUCACAUCCUCCGAUCUCCGCGCUCCCCACCGCACCAACUCUGAACCCAACGCUUCUCCAGCCGCCAAGUUUGGCUCUCGUACAUCCUCUAGCCUCAGCGACGGCGACACCCCAAUACUAAGGUAAACAAUCGAAUCUUGAAUUUCUUCAUCAUACUUUGAGAAAGCCAUCGAUCUGCACUUAAAGAUCGAAAUCUACACAAUCUCUGAUGCCUGAAAGAAUAAGCUAUUUUUGGAUUUGAGCAUCGCAAAAAAUAGCCCGGGAAGUAUAUAUUGGCAUGAAUCUCUCGGUGGCGUUGCUGUACCGGGCCAACUAUUCGGGUCGCCGGAGCACUACAAAGAGCAUAUAUUGGUUGUUUUGUGUUGAAUGCGGCGGAGCAAAAUAUAUUGGUUUGGUUGUUGUUGGUGAGGGGUUUGACGGUGGAGAAAACAUAGGUCGUCUACUCCUACUAACCCAGUAGACCCCCGAACAGACCCCCUACUGCCCCUAGUACCCUCAAUAGAUCCCCUAGCUUUCAUCGGAGUCUGGUCA